AUUGAACGCUGGCGGCAUGCUUUACACAUGCAAGUCGAACGGUAACAGGCCUUCGGGUGCUGGCGAGUGGCGAACGGGUGCGUAAUGCAUCGGAACGUACCCAGAGGUGGGGGUUAACGCAGCGAAAGCUGUGCUAAUACCGCAUGUGAUCUGAGGAUGAAAGCGGGGGACCGAGCAGCAAUGUUUGGCCUUGCGCCUUUGGAGCGGCCGAUGUCGGAUUAGCUAGUUGGUGGGGUAAAGGCCUACCAAGGCGACGAUCCGUAGCUGGUCUGAGAGGACGACCAGCCACACUGGAACUGAGACACGGCCCAGACUACUACGGGAGGCAGCAGUGGGGAAUUUUGGACAAUGGGCGCAAGCCUGAUCCAGCAAUGCCGCGUGCGGGAAAAAGGCCUUCGGGUUGUAAACCGCUUUUGGCAGGAACGAAACGGUGUCCGCUAAUACCGGGCGCUAAUGACGGUACCUGCAGAAUAAGCACCGGCUAACUACGUG
rnacentral:rRNA from 1 species